rnacentral:rRNA from 1 species
AUGAACGCUGGCGGCGUGCCUAAUACAUGCAAGUCGAGCGAACAGACGAGGAGCUUGCUCCUCUGACGUUAGCGGCGGACGGGUGAGUAACACGUGGAUAACCUACCUAUAAGACUGGGAUAACUUCGGGAAACCGGAGCUAAUACCGGAUAAUAUAUUGAACCGCAUGGUUCAAUAGUGAAAGACGGUUUUGCUGUCACUUAUAGAUGGAUCCGCGCCGCAUUAGCUAGUUGGUAAGGUAACGGCUUACCAAGGCGACGAUGCGUAGCCGACCUGAGAGGGUGAUCGGCCACACUGGAACUGAGACACGGUCCAGACUCCUACGGGAGGCAGCAGUAGGGAAUCUUCCGCAAUGGGCGAAAGCCUGACGGAGCAACGCCGCGUGAGUGAUGAAGGUCUUCGGAUCGUAAAACUCUGUUAUUAGGGAAGAACAAAUGUGUAAGUAACUAUGCACGUCUGGACGGUACCUAAUCAGAAAGCCACGGCUAACUACGU